rnacentral:rRNA from 1 species
CGCCGUGUGGGUGAUGAUGGCCUUCGGGUCGUAACUCCCUUUUCUGUGGGACGAGUAAGGAUGGUACACCCAGGAAUAAGCCUCGGGUAACUAUCUGCCAGAAGCCGUCGGUACUACAUAGGAGAGCAAGCGUCAUCCGGAUUUACGUGGGCGUAAAGAGCGUAGAGGCUGAGCUUCGUAAAAUUAGGACGUGAAAGCUCCCGGCUUAACUGCGAGGAGGCCGAUUCAAUACUACGGGGCUCGAGGACAGCAGUCGGGGGUGGAAUUUCCGGUGUAGUGCUGAUAUGCGUAGAUAUCGGAAGGAACACCAGUGGCGAAGCCGGCCACCCUGGGCUGCUCCUGACGCUGAAGGCGAAAGCCUAGGGUAGCGAACGGGAUUAGUAACCCCGGUAGUCCUAACCGUAAACGAUGGAUACUAGCUGUAGGAGGCUCAAAUUCCUUCUGUGCCGGAGCUUACGCGUUAAGUAUCCCGCCUGGGGAGUACGGUCGCUAGGCUAAUACUCCGAGGAAUUGAAGGGGGCCCGCACAAGCAGCGGAGCGUGUGGUUUAAUUCGAUGCAACGCGAAGAACCUUACCAGGGCUUGACAUGUAGGUAGUAGUGAAGCGAAAGCGG